rnacentral:lncRNA from 1 species
CACUCUCGCGGGAGGUGCAUGAGCACUGCACUGUGAUUGGGUAACACUGCCUGUAUAAAAACGCAUGCGCCGAGGGUAGAGAGAGAGAGAAGAAAAAAGCGAUUAAAGAAGAAGGUUCGCCACUACGUGAGUCUCCGAGUCGUUCUUGCGGGCCGAGAGCGACAGAGAAGGUGAACGGUGGUGAUGUUUUUGUCCCCUGACUUCAGAGAAGUGUGGUCAGAGAAGAAUGUGAUAAUGGAAUGCAGAGAAGGAGGGAAGAGGAACCACUGUGAGCCGGAAGUUUCAGUUUUCAUGGUAAAUAUCCAGCAAAGCAAUUCCUGGACCACAGGGCAGUUCUGUUUUUCACUCUUUGACAAACCUCGACUUUUGUUCUCAGUGGAAUUAAUAUUAGGAUAAGACAGCCACCGCCAGGUAGCGGACUCAUACAUGAGAACCUGGAGACUAGAGAUCUGUUCUGUAAUAUCCAGUCAACGCUGGGAAUCACCAACUGUCUCCGCAGUGUGCAGUUUCUGUUAGUGUGGCUGCCGUCCGUCCUUCUUGUCAGCUGGGGCUCUUGAAACCAUGCUCUCCGUAGAGAGAGAUGCUCUUUACCCAUUCUAACGGGCUAAUGUUGCUGGCCCAACUCCCACACCAGGACUUUGCAGGCCUUUGAGGCAAGAUGAACCUACUGCUAAGAGCUAGGCUGAGUCCAGCUGGCCUUUUGUCUGGAGUAGCAGAUUAGUGGAACUUGAUGCUCAACUCUGUCAGACCCAGUCAGAGGCACCCGCACGCUCCAGCUGCUCCUGGGGUGCUCUUGGCAUCUGCCAUUUUCAGACCUGGAGUCCACUUGGGUUUCUCUUCAGGGACCCAUAGCACCAUGAAUUACAGACUGGUUUUGUUUUUCCCUCUUGUCUCUCAAAGAUGAAAAAGUCUUAGUUAUACCCAUCUUCUCUGUGAGUGGUGGAGAGGUGGUGGCCAAUCAUCCAUGCCUUAGCUGUGAGGAUUUCAUUCAUUCUCCCUGCCCCUCCCCGCCCGGC